ensembl:lncRNA
ACUCUCCGGCAGUUAUCCCGUUCUACACGCCGAUGUCCCCUAGGUGGGCACCGAGGUAACGGAGCGGAAAAGCAGGAGGAGAGGCGUGGUGCCCGCUGUCUAGAAGCGGAUGCGAGGCCCCCUGAGCCCGCAGUUGACGGCGGUGCCCUCGUUCCCGCCCUGCUCGCCGCCUCUCCCNNNNNNNNNNNNNNNNNNNNNNNNNNNNNNNNNNNNNNNNNNNNNNNNNNNNNNNNNGGUGGCCGAGGCCGCGCCGAUGAACCCGGCUCAGGAGGCAAGUCUCUAACUGAAGACAAGGGUUUGAUAGACUACGGACAUUGGUUUGUACAUUCAGAUCAGUUCCAGCUGACCCCUAAGAUAUGUCAGUAAUUGGUUUAAUCUAGAGAGACAUUCUGUAUUGCUUCUUGCUUUAACUAGUGCAGAACAGACUGAGGGCGAGGAAGACAAGAAGGAGCCCAUCCCAGAAGCAAUUGCAUGCAUCCAGGACUUGCAUCUUCUAGGUCCCAUGUUGUCCAGCUAGAGCUGAGAGGGAGUGGACAUGGCUCCAGGCACAGCACGAGAGCCUCAGAGUGGGCCUGGCCCUGGUGAUUCACAUCUGGGGGAGGAUGUGAUGUCACAGCUGGGUUCACAUCAUACCAGGAACAUGUCCUGUGCCCAGCACUGUUUGGGUGUGUUGCACCCCAACCUUGAGUCUUUUGCCUGGCUGCUGACAUGGAGCUGAGGACCAAUAGACACCUUCUGGGCAGAAUAUUUCUGUAGAAGUGCCCCAGAUACAUCCUUCAACGGCAGACUUGUCCACCCAGACGACCUGUCCCUGGGAGAGGUGUAGGCUGGAAGAGCUGCACAGUCCCUGCUUCCACAUUGUCGUCACAUUGCGGGAAGCUGGGGAGGAUUUCCCUGGUAGCUCUGGCUUCCCCCUCCCAGCAGCCCUGGGAUCUAUUUGCUUUCCUUUAACAAAGACUUCGCCUGCUUGCUGCCUGUGUGUUCCUGGAGUUCAUUUCUUUGACUGCCCUGAUCAGGAACCCGGAUUCCCAUAUCAUCUUUCUGGUGGUAUCUUUUGGGGACUAGUCUGGGAUCCAAUCCAAUACAUCUGCACUCAUAAGAACGUCUGAGUCCCUGCCAGAUCUCCAGCAACAGAUUCAUGGGAUGUCUGAUCCAGCUCGCCCUCUGGAACUAGUUGACCUCUUCCUCCUGGUGGAAAUAUUUCAUCACCAUAGCCAUCAUCAUGAUCUUUAAUCCUUUUAUUUGGACCCUAUAUAAUUAAUUGUAUUUCUCACUUCAUUACAUCCCAGUUAAAAACUAUGGACCUGGAGUUCCCGUCGUGGCUCAGGGGUUAACGAAUCCGACUAGGAACCAUGAGGUUGCAGGUUCAACCCCUGGCCUUGCCCAGUGGGUUAAGGAUCUGCCAUUGCUGUGAGCUGUGGUGUAGGCCACAGACAUGGCUCAGAUCCCACGUUGCUGUGGCUCUGGUAUAGGCUGGUGGCUAUAGCUCUGAUUUGACGCCCUAGCCUGGGAACCUCCAUAUGCCGUGGGAGCAGCCCUAGAAAAGGAAAAAAGACACCCCCCCCAAAAAAAAAAAAAAAAACUUAAUUGAGCUAUAUAGUCAGUUUGCCUUGAACUAACAUACCUAAAAUGUAUGGCUUGGUAAAUUUUAACCUGCCUAAGCCCAUGGAAUGAUCAUCAUAACAUUCAUCACUCCUCUAUCUUUUGACAUUUCUCCCUAGGCCCCCAGGCUCUGCCACUUUUUCACCUUCAGUUAGUGUUUUCUAGACUUCUUUUUCCUGAAAAUAAUACUCUGUGAACAUGUACAGAAAAUUCUUUAUAUGAACAUAUGACUUUAAAAUGAAAGCUCUUUUUACAUCCC